ACGUAGGGUGCAAGCGUUAAUCGGAAUUACUGGGCGUAAAGCGCGCGCAGGCGGAUCCUGCAAGUCCGAAGUGAAAUCUCACUGCUCAACGGUGAGGCUGCUCCAGAUACUGCGGAUCUUGAGACCGGUAGAGGCUGGUGGAAUUGCAGGUGUAGCGGUGGAAUGCGUAGAGAUCUGCAAGAACACCCGUGGCGAAGGCGACCACCUGGACUGAUACUGACACUGAGGUGCGAAAGCGUGGGGAGCAAACAGGA
rnacentral:rRNA from 1 species